UUAAGCGACUAAGCGUACACGGUGGAUGCCCUGGCAGUCAGAGGCGAUGAAGGACGUGCUAAUCUGCGAUAAGCGUCGGUAAGGUGAUAUGAACCGUUAUAACCGGCGAUUUCCGAAUGGGGAAACCCAGUGUGUUUCGACACACUAUCAUUAACUGAAUCCAUAGGUUAAUGAGGCGAACCGGGGGAACUGAAACAUCUAAGUACCCCGAGGAAAAGAAAUCAACCGAGAUUCCCCCAGUAGCGGCGAGCGAACGGGGAGCAGCCCAGAGCCUGAAUCAGUGUGUGUGUUAGUGGAAGCGUCUGGAAAGGCGUGCGAUACAGGGUGACAGCCCCGUACACAAAAAUGCACAUGCUGUGAGCUCGAUGAGUAGGGCGGGACACGUGGUAUCCUGUCUGAAUAUGGGGGGACCAUCCUCCAAGGCUAAAUACUCCUGACUGACCGAUAGUGAACCAGUACCGUGAGGGAAAGGCGAAAAGAACCCCGGCGAGGGGAGUGAAAAAGAACCUGAAACCGUGUACGUACAAGCAGUGGGAGCACGCUUAGGCGUGUGACUGCGUACCUUUUGUAUAAUGGGUCAGCGACUUAUAUUCUGUAGCAAGGUUAACCGAAUAGGGGAGCCGAAGGGAAACCGAGUCUUAACUGGGCGUUAAGUUGCAGGGUAUAGACCCGAAACCCGGUGAUCUAGCCAUGGGCAGGUUGAAGGUUGGGUAACACUAACUGGAGGACCGAACCGACUAAUGUUGAAAAAUUAGCGGAUGACUUGUGGCUGGGGGUGAAAGGCCAAUCAAACCGGGAGAUAGCUGGUUCUCCCCGAAAGCUAUUUAGGUAGCGCCUCGUGAAUUCAUCUCCGGGGGUAGAGCACUGUUUCGGCAAGGGGGUCAUCCCGACUUACCAACCCGAUGCAAACUGCGAAUACCGGAGAAUGUUAUCACGGGAGACACACGGCGGGUGCUAACGUCCGUCGUGAAGAGGGAAACAACCCAGACCGCCAGCUAAGGUCCCAAAGUCAUGGUUAAGUGGGAAACGAUGUGGGAAGGCCCAGACAGCCAGGAUGUUGGCUUAGAAGCAGCCAUCAUUUAAAGAAAGCGUAAUAGCUCACUGGUCGAGUCGGCCUGCGCGGAAGAUGUAACGGGGCUAAACCAUGCACCGAAGCUGCGGCAGCGACGCUUAUGCGUUGUUGGGUAGGGGAGCGUUCUGUAAGCCUGUGAAGGUGUACUGUGAGGUAUGCUGGAGGUAUCAGAAGUGCGAAUGCUGACAUAAGUAACGAUAAAGCGGGUGAAAAGCCCGCUCGCCGGAAGACCAAGGGUUCCUGUCCAACGUUAAUCGGGGCAGGGUGAGUCGACCCCUAAGGCGAGGCCGAAAGGCGUAGUCGAUGGGAAACAGGUUAAUAUUCCUGUACUUGGUGUUACUGCGAAGGGGGGACGGAGAAGGCUAUGUUGGCCGGGCGACGGUUGUCCCGGUUUAAGCGUGUAGGCUGGUUUUCCAGGCAAAUCCGGAAAAUCAAGGCUGAGGCGUGAUGACGAGGCACUACGGUGCUGAAGCAACAAAUGCCCUGCUUCCAGGAAAAGCCUCUAAGCAUCAGGUAACAUCAAAUCGUACCCCAAACCGACACAGGUGGUCAGGUAGAGAAUACCAAGGCGCUUGAGAGAACUCGGGUGAAGGAACUAGGCAAAAUGGUGCCGUAACUUCGGGAGAAGGCACGCUGAUAUGUAGGUGAAGUCCCUCGCGGAUGGAGCUGAAAUCAGUCGAAGAUACCAGCUGGCUGCAACUGUUUAUUAAAAACACAGCACUGUGCAAACACGAAAGUGGACGUAUACGGUGUGACGCCUGCCCGGUGCCGGAAGGUUAAUUGAUGGGGUUAGCCGCAAGGCGAAGCUCUUGAUCGAAGCCCCGGUAAACGGCGGCCGUAACUAUAACGGUCCUAAGGUAGCGAAAUUCCUUGUCGGGUAAGUUCCGACCUGCACGAAUGGCGUAAUGAUGGCCAGGCUGUCUCCACCCGAGACUCAGUGAAAUUGAACUCGCUGUGAAGAUGCAGUGUACCCGCGGCAAGACGGAAAGACCCCGUGAACCUUUACUAUAGCUUGACACUGAACAUUGAGCCUUGAUGUGUAGGAUAGGUGGGAGGCUUUGAAGUGUGGACGCCAGUCUGCAUGGAGCCGACCUUGAAAUACCACCCUUUAAUGUUUGAUGUUCUAACGUUGACCCGUAAUCCGGGUUGCGGACAGUGUCUGGUGGGUAGUUUGACUGGGGCGGUCUCCUCCUAAAGAGUAACGGAGGAGCACGAAGGUUGGCUAAUCCUGGUCGGACAUCAGGAGGUUAGUGCAAUGGCAUAAGCCAGCUUGACUGCGAGCGUGACGGCGCGAGCAGGUGCGAAAGCAGGUCAUAGUGAUCCGGUGGUUCUGAAUGGAAGGGCCAUCGCUCAACGGAUAAAAGGUACUCCGGGGAUAACAGGCUGAUACCGCCCAAGAGUUCAUAUCGACGGCGGUGUUUGGCACCUCGAUGUCGGCUCAUCACAUCCUGGGGCUGAAGUAGGUCCCAAGGGUAUGGCUGUUCGCCAUUUAAAGUGGUACGCGAGCUGGGUUUAGAACGUCGUGAGACAGUUCGGUCCCUAUCUGCCGUGGGCGCUGGAGAACUGAGGGGGGCUGCUCCUAGUACGAGAGGACCGGAGUGGACGCAUCACUGGUGUUCGGGUUGUCAUGCCAAUGGCACUGCCCGGUAGCUAAAUGCGGAAGAGAUAAGUGCUGAAAGCAUCUAAGCACGAAACUUGCCCCGAGAUGAGUUCUCCCUGACUCCUUGAGAGUCCUGAAGGAACGUUGAAGACGACGACGUUGAUAGGCCGGGUGUGUAAGCGCAGCGAUGCGUUGAGCUAACCGGUACUAAUGAACCGUGAGGCUUAACCUU
rnacentral:rRNA from 2 species